UGGCGGAAUGCUUUACACAUGCAAGUCGAGCGGCAGCGCGGGGCAACCUGGCGGCGAGCGGCGAACGGGUGAGUAAUGCAUCGGAACAUGUCCAUGUCGUGGGGGAUAGCCCGGCGAAAGCCGGAUUAAUACCGCAUACGCCCGAGAAGGGAAAGUGGGGGACCGCAAGGCCUCACGCGAUUGGGUUGGCCGAUGUCCGAUUAGCUAGUUGGCGGGGUAAAGGCCCACCAAGGCGAUGAUCGGUAGCUGGUCUGAGAGGAUGAUCAGCCACACUGGGACUGAGACACGGCCCAGACUCCUACGGGAGGCAGCAGUGGGGAAUUUUGGACAAUGGGGGAAACCCUGAUCCAGCCAUUCCGCGUGAGUGCAGAAGGCCUUCGGGUUGUAAAGCUCUUUUGUCCGGAACGAAACGGCGAGCGUGAAUAUCGCUCGCUACUGACGGUACCGGGAGAAUAAGCACCGGCUAACUACGUGCCAGCAGCCGCGGUAAUACGUAGGGUGCAAGCGUUAAUCGGAAUUACUGGGCGUAAAGCGUGCGCAGGCGGUUCUAUAAGACAGAUGUGAAAUCCCCGGGCUCAACCUGGGAACUGCAUUUGUGACUGUAGAGCUGGAGUGCGGCAGAGGGGGAUGGAAUUCCGCGUGUAGCAGUGAAAUGCGUAGAUAUGCGGAGGAACACCGAUGGCGAAGGC
rnacentral:rRNA from 1 species